ensembl:lncRNA
GAAAUCCAGUGAUAAGAGAAUGAGAAGGGUUUUUAUAACAUUUUUUUUUCCCCCAGACAAAUAUGCUUGGGUGCAAGGCAGUUAGUUAAGCAUUUGGGGAGAUUUUUUAAAAAGAAUUGAAUCGGGUUCGGAAGCAUACAUAUAUGAAAGCAAGAACUCCUGUAUAUCCUGGCUCCUCUCUUACCAAUUUGGAACGACUCCUCAGAGAUACCUGAGAGGCAGCAUCCUAGGCUAAAGUCCUCAGUAAGGCCACCAAAUAAAACAGAAUUCUCAACAUUUAGAAUGUGCAUUUUUUUCCAGUUGACAUAUCUUUCUGACAUUUUUUAAAUCAUAUUGAUAAAAAGAAGUUUUCUAGAUUUUUAUUAAUUUCUUGAUUUGAAUACUUUGAAAUCCAAUUUACAGAGGUUCUUCAAGUUUCAUUGACUUAUAUUCAAGGCUACUUAUCUAGAAAGUGGAAGGACCCUGAUUGAAGUCCAGGUCUUCUGACUCUGAAACUGGGAUUGUAUUCACUGCAAUAAAAGGAAUCAAGCUG